CGAUAUUUUAAACCUCACUUUACGAGGCCUCUCUUCAUGUCGUUGGCUUAAUUUUCUCUGAAGUUCCUCCAUGAACGGUCAUGCUGGCUUCAUUAAAAGACAGGAGAUCAAAAGUGGCAGUUAAAAUCAUAAAGAAGAAUCCCGGGAGUAUCAGCAACAUCCAGACUGAGGCAAAUAUACUGAAGAUGACAAGCGGAGGCCCAUACCUGUGUCACGGAUAUGCCGCUUUUCAAACACAGCGGCAUGUCUUCCUCAUCAUGGAGUAUGUCAGCGGGGGAAGCCUGAGGGAUCAGCUGGAGAGUCACAGCCCACUGGACAUGACCAGAGUGGAGUAAGUGGCACAUGGAGGAAUGUGGUAAAUGGGAACAUCCUGCAUUUCAGAGGUUACAUGGGGAGGGCCUCACGUAUCCUAGCAACCAGGCACUGGGUUUAUAUACAGACUUUCAUGUGAUGUAGGAGGGGGGCUGAAUAAAAAGAUAAUUGAUAAAAAUGUUUUUCCCUUAAAAAAGGUUCCAAUCUGCAGAAAUAGUUUGUGGUCUCCAGUUCCUUCAUAACAACAGCAUCGUUCAUAGGUCAGUAUAUGUAUGCUAUUUCACUCCUCUUCUUGUUCUGAAUUAUUGUGUUUUUAUUUUUAUUACAGGAGUCCAAAUACAAAAAAAAUCUGAGCAACCCUCAAGCAGCCGUUAGUUUAGAAGUGCUAUUAUUCACAAUUACAGCUACUAGAGAAGAAUCCUGAUUGGCGCCUUGGUGUGUAUGGCAAUAUCAGACAGCACCCAUUCUUUUCAGCCAUUGACUGGGAGGAGCUGGAAUGGCAGCUAGUACCACCCCCUUUUGACCUUGGAACAUCAUCAAGGGAGCAGAUGAAGCCAUAUGAAAAAAGGCUCUAUCGUUCCUGGAGUCCCAGAAAAACAACUCAUUGGGGGACACAAUAAACAUUCCAGGCCUUUCCUUCAUAAAUUAUAGUUGACAGGAUUAGGUUUCUAAGGCUCAGUCAUGCGAUUCCAUCAGCAUGAAAUAUCAGUGACCAUCAUUCAUGGACUUCAGAACAAGAACAUCUCCACCUGCUGCAUGGAGACACAUCAUACUCUGCAUUGCCUGGUCAUACCAUAUGAUCCAGUGCCACCUGGGAAACACCUUCUAGACCUCACCCAGUAGCAUCGGGUGUGUAUUUAUAUUUAUUUAGAGCGAAUGGUAUGUGAUUGUGUGAGAGUAUGUGAGAUACAAAAGGCUAAGGACGUAACAUGGCACACAGAAAUGGCUCCUCUUAUAGGAACCAAAUUUCAGCAGGUUCUGCUGUCUGUCCGUGAAGCCCAUACCCUGCUUUUAAUCCACAGACAACUGAUCCAGGUCAGGAAGAGUUUUUUUCCCUUCUGUAGCAAAUUGGCCCCCGCUUCAGAUGGGUUUUUCCUUCCUCUGGAUCAGUUGGAAUGUUCAAAGGGUUUUGCUUCACAGACAUGUCUUUAUCAGCCUCCAUAGUUAUAUUAUUAUUAUUUUACUAUUGUUAUAAUGUUAAUGUUAAGUAUUAUAUAUGUUAUAAGAGGCAAGGCCUGUUACGCCUGGAAUAAAUGGUGUGUGAAUGGCCAGUAACAUGGUUGAAGCCUUGACGUGUCAUUACUGCUCACAUGAGUAUAAACAUUUGCUAAUUCAACCAAUUGUGAGACUGGAACAUUGUCAGAAAGUGCAUUUAUUUCAGUCCAAUCACAGGCAUUUCAAAACUUUCAGAAGUUUAGAUCAACUUCAUAAUCAUGAAGACGAUAUAUAGGAGUCUGUAAGUUAAUGUGCCAGAUAUUGUUCAACCAAACCACAUAAGAGUACAAUUUGACAUGUGGGACCUCAUACCAUUCCAGACAUUUAGACAAUAGUGUAACAUUAUUUUGUUCCCUUGUAUCAGAACCCUGCAGCUCAAUGAGUUGCUGAGUACAAAAUUGCUAUGAAUAUGAUAACAUUAUCUAUUUAUCUUUCUCUGUCUCUUAGGCUUAAGGGUUGUAAAGCAAUAAUUAGUGAUAUAGUGCUGAUAUCUAACUUUCUGCUAUACAGGAACCGUACUUAAAGGAAUUAAUAUGAAAUAUAUUAUAAUGCAACUAGAUACCUAUUUUCAUAUAAUAGAA